rnacentral:rRNA from 1 species
UACGUAGGGUGCAGGCGUUAAUCGGAAUUACUGGGCGUAAAGCGUGCGCAGGCGGUUUGCUAAGACAGGUGUGAAAUCCCCGGGCUUAACCUGGGAACUGCGCUUGUAACUGGCAAGCUAGAGUGUGGCAGAGGGGGGUGGAAUUCCACGUGUAGCAGUGAAAUGCGUAGAGAUGUGGAGGAACACCGAUGGCGAAGGCAAUCCCCUGGGCCUGCACUGACGCUCAUGCACGAAAGCGUGGGGAGCAAACAGG